CACAGCAGUUGUUCUGGGACUUCCCUUUAACACAGUGGAUUUCACUGCCUCUGCACAGUGGUCUAACCUGAAGAGAGAAUAAAUUACCGGAACCUAUACAACAACCACAUGAAGAAGAAAAAGCCAAAAUCCAUCAACCUGAGCACAAGAGGGUAAAUAAUGCUUUUCUGGACCGACUCCAAGGCAAAAGUCAACCAGGUGGCCUCCAGCAGUCUAGAGGCUAUUGGAAUACGAAUAGUGGUAACAGCUGGGGUAUAUGAGAAAUAUUAAUUUCUACCUGGUCUUCAUCAACUGACCUGGAAAAAACCUCCUGAGAUGCUUUUCCUUAAUGUAAUUUUGUUCAGCCUCACUGUUUUUUACCUUAGCUUCAACUGCCUACCCACUCAACUGAGCAGUUAGGGAUGGUCAAUUUCUCUGUCAUUAGUUAUGCAUGUUUGCAGGCUCUGAUUACUAAACUCAUUUAAUCUCUACUGCCUGAAAAAUGUUACAUUAUUUUUAUAAUUGGUUUUGCCUCUUAUUAGAAUCAUUAGAACAAUGUUAAUAAGAUAGAAAAAGAUGGAAUCACUUGAUAGUUUCAGGUUAGCGAGAAUGCUGGGCGCUACAGGCUUCUUUAUAUAAGCAACUAUUUCUAAGCUAAUUCUCAGAUCAGAUUUGGGGAAGCUUUGGGGUCUUUUAGGUUUUUAUCCCUACUUUCUUAAUCUAGGCAACAAAUAUAACCAAAAGAAAAGUAUUGUAUACUCUAUUAUAUGUGCUGCCGAAGCGAGCACAAGAAAAGUAUUGUAUACUCUAUUAAAAUUAUAAAUAAAUUUUGAACUGCUAUAUAAAUGGGC
rnacentral:lncRNA from 1 species